rnacentral:rRNA from 1 species
UACGAAGGGUGCAAGCGUUACUCGGAAUUACUGGGCGUGAAGCGUGCGUAGGUGGUUUGUUAAGUCUGAUGUGAAAGCCCUGGGCUCAACCUGGGAACUGCAUUGGAAACUGGCUUACUAGAGUGCGGUAGAGGGUGGCGGAAUUCCCGGUGUAGCAGUGAAAUGCGUAGAUAUCGGGAGGAACAUCCGUGGCGAAGGCGGCCACCUGGACCAGCACUGACACUGAGGCACGAAAGCGUGGGGAGCAAACAGG